rnacentral:lncRNA from 1 species
GUGUAGAGGUAUGGGACUGCAGGUGGAGGAAUAGAGGUAUGGGACUGCAGGUGGAGGUAUAGAGGAAUGGGACUGCUGGUGGAGGUAUAGAGGUACGGGACAGCAGGUGGAGGUAUAGAGGUACGGGACUGCAGGUGGAGGUAUAGAGGUACGGGACUGCAGGUGGAGGUAUAGAGGUACGGGACUGCAGGUGGAGGUAUAGAGGUACGGGACUGCAGGUGGAGGUAUAGAGGUAUGGGACUGCAGGUGGAGGUAUAGAGGUAUGGGACUGCAGGUGGAGGCAUAGAGGUAUGGGACUGCAGGUGGAGGUAUAGAGGUAUGGGACUGUAGUUGGAGGUAUAGAGGUACGGGACUGCAGGUGGAGGUAUAGAGGUAUGGGACUGUAGGUGGAGGUAUAGAGGUAUGGGACUGUAGGUGGAGGUAUAGAGGUAUGGGACUGUAGGUGGAGGUAUGGGACUGUAGGUGGAGGUAUAGAGGUAUGGGACUGUAGGUGGAGGUAUAGAGGUAUGGGACUGUAGGUGGAGGUAUGGGACUGUAGGUGGAGGUAUAGAGGUAUGGGACUGUAGGUGGAGGUAUAGAGGUAUGGGACUGUAGGUGGAGGUAUAGAGGUAUGGGACUGUAGGUGGAGGUAUAGAGGUAUGGGACUGCAGGUGGAGGUAUAGAGGUAUGGGACUGUAGGUGGAGGUAUAGAGGUAUGGGACUGUAGGUGGAGGUAUAGAGGUAUGGGACUGUAGGUUGAG